UGAUGAAAAACGUCAAAUUGUGCUGUCGACUAUCGUGCCAGUUGACAAGCUAAGCCGACAUUCGUGUUUGCUUUUUCCGUAGAGUGGUUCUCCCUCAUCUCACUCAAGUCACAAACACAGUUCUCGUGUUUAUUUAACAUUUCCAGUAGGAAAGCGAUUAGCGAUCAGGAUGAGAUGUUUCGUCAUCAUAUCUAAUGCAUUACGCAAUAGGGCAUCCGUCUGAAUAAAUUCCAUAUCGCUGUCAAAAAGCAAUUUCAAACAAACGUCAUUUCAAAAAAGUUUCUGUAAUGUUCCGAGAAUCAGAGUGUUGCAAGGCGAAUAUUUCGAGCACUAAAAAUGAUAUCGCUAGACCCAGAUGAUGCACAGUCUUUUCUUUUUCGACUCAAUCUGUGUUUAUGGCCUAAUUUUUUUGUUUGUGACUUGUGAGGACUUGUAUUCACCACGCCAUUAUUAACUAGUAGUGCAUUCAAGUGAAAGAUGUCCUACACCAUCUGCCACAUGCCGUUGAAAAAAUGCAUGAGAGUAUAACGUACAGCUGCUAGACGGCCCUAUAUGAUACCCUGGACUCAAGAGGCCGUAGGACCACUAGAGUGCUGCCUCAUUUCCUUAGCCCUAGAGACCCUAUUUCGGAAGGAUUAUACCCACAGCCCAGUCGUCAUUAGCUUUAAAGUUCUUUUUAUCUUUAAGCAGUAGAAUAUUGAAAUAGCUUCGCCAGGGAGAAAAAGAAAAAGGGUAGGCCUAUAGACUUGUAAUUUUCCUUCACACUUGAGCGUCAAAGAGAAUAGAGGAACCUGGGUGGAAUUUUUUGUGAGAAAAGAGCCUUAAGACGAUGGACAGUUAAAUGCCAAUAGGUGAGAAUCGUUGUGGAAAUGUCUUCAUUUCCCUUUCACUCACCGUAAAGCUCAUACACAAACACGGGAGCCCCUUCUCACAAAAAGCCCCUCGGUGCAUGGGAGAAAUAAAUAUACCACCACCACCAAGAGAAGAGCUGCGAAUGCUGUGGCUGCACACAUGCUGUUGUUGCAGUCCUACCAGGGAGUGUGGAAACCACUCCCUUUGAUGAUGCCGUCGCGCACUCAAUCAAUCAAUCAGGGGCUCCCUCGUCCGCAUCCGCGUCUUCGGUAAUGCAUCCCCCCCGCAACUUCUGGAGCGUCGACUCGAAUCCGGCGAUACCGCAGACUCCCGCCACCGUCUGUGUGCGCGAGAAAAGAUGUUGAAUGCCCCCCCCCCCCCCCUCACAUCACCAAAUCGAGCAGCAGACACACUCAAGAAUAGAAGCCGAUUUUUCUUAUACGAACGACGACGACGCCGGCCCUUUUGUGUCUUGCCACUGUGAUUGGCUCCUUCGGGAUUGUCUAUGCUGCUGCGGACGAAAAUGACCAACUGUUGAGAGCAAUUCUGAUCCCUCUUCCCUUGCACAAGACAAAAUUGAUGACAGGAUUACGAUUCUCGAAUCUGAAUCUGAUGCUAAAAUCAAGGAAUUUCAGCUAGAUUCUGAGGAUAGACUGAAGCAAUUUCAACUCGAUUUGGAUGCUAGAUUGGAGCAAGUGCAACUAGAUUCUGACGCAACAUUGCAGCAAUUGCAACUAGUAGUGUGGGCAUUUUAGCUUUUAAAAAAGGGGGGGGGGACCCGAAACGGAUUGUAAUAUGGUUUUUUUAUGAGACACCAGGCAAAACGAAGACGAAGAUUAGUAAUACUUAUUCCGUUAAAACAAUAGAUUUUAGGCUAUGGGGGUAAAAAAGUGUAGAAAGUAGAAAAGUGAUAGACGACCCGUAGUUAACAAAUUUUUUUAACAUGACAGUGAGCGGGUCGCGAUAAUUAUUGUUUUGGAUUGUGUGGCAUCUGGCCUUUUCAUUGCAUUCGUUUUUUUUUUUUUAAAUUCAGUUUUACUUUUAGUGUUGCGUAGUUUAACAUAUUGCAGUACGAUUUUUUGUUGAGUUACACCGUUUCCAUGAUUUUUAAAGGAAUAGCUAUAAUUAAAAAUGGGUUUUUAAAACUUAGUAAUUUGGUUCAAAUGUAAGAAACGUUAUUGGUUACAAGCAGGUCUUUUUUGUAAGUGCUUUCAUUACUCAUAAAAGUCAUAACAAAAUCUGACAAAAUCAUGAGAGUUUCAAUAAAUUGGCAGCGCCGCUUUCACAGAAGUUCGUCUGCAGAGCAAAAGUAUGAUGAAAAAAUCAAAUUCGUGUUGUGUCGGCUCUCCUUGGUUAGGAGUGUCAGUUAGUCCAUUAGUCCGUUCGGCUUUUGUACAGUUUCCUUUUAGUUACGCUCUUUAGCAUUGUUUUGCGAUUCGCAGACAAUAAUUCGUAUAAUAAUGUGAACGAGAGAGGAGCCCGAACGAAUCUUUGUUUCUUAUUACAUGUUCAUGGGGCAGAGAUGAUUCCUUUCUUCUGAUUACCAUGAAUGGAUGGCCUCAAGCUGGCGCAUCGUAUUGUUCCGCCGGAGAAGGAUCGUAGAAAGGAGAACUGGGCGAUUACUCAUCAACCUGGGCGACACGCGAAAUUGUCAAUUGCCCGGAAAGAAGUUAUCACGAGGUUUUCCUUUUAGAUUUGCCAGAUUCAGAUCAACACUUCUUGCUGGCUCGUGUCUCGAUGGUCUUAUUCUGCGUUGUUAUAAGGUAUUUUACAAUCCCAAGCGUUAAUAUUGUUUAAAAAUGUCUGAUAUUUAAAGCUCACUACGACAUUGUUUUAGCUGUUCGAUUCUUUGAUUAACUUAAAGGUUAAAAAUGAAAGAUUAUAGAGUAUACAGUAUAGAAUAUA